AACGAACGCUGGCGGCAUGCCUAACACAUGCAAGUCGAACGAGACCUUCGGGUCUAGUGGCGCACGGGUGCGUAACGCGUGGGAACCUGCCCUUAGGUUCGGAAUAACUCCCCGAAAGGGGUGCUAAUACCGGAUAAUGUCUUCGGACCAAAGAUUUAUCGCCUUUGGAUGGGCCCGCGUUUGAUUAGCUAGUUGGUAGGGUAAAAGCCUACCAAGGCGACGAUCCAUAGCUGGUCUGAGAGGAUGAUCAGCCACACUGGGACUGAGACACGGCCCAGACUCCUACGGGAAGCAGCAGUGGGGAAUAUUGGACAAUGGGCGAAAGCCUGAUCCAGCAAUGCCGCGUGAGUGAUGAAGGCCUUAGGGUUGUAAAGCUCUUUUACCCGGGAUGAUAAUGACAGUACCGGGAGAAUAAGCUCCGGCUAACUCCGUG
rnacentral:rRNA from 1 species